AUGGCUUAGGACGAACGCUGGCGGCGUGCCUAAUACAUGCAAGUAGAACGCUGAAGUCUGGUGCUUGCACUAGAUGGAAGAGUUGCGAACGGGUGAGUAACGCGUAGGUAACCUGCCUGGUAGCGGGGGAUAACUAUUGGAAACGAUAGCUAAUACCGCAUAAUAGCAGUUAACACAUGUUAGCAGUUUGAAAGGAGCAAUUGCUUCACUACCAGAUGGACCUGCGUUGUAUUAGCUAGUUGGUAAGGUAAAGGCUUACCAAGGCGACGAUACAUAGCCGGCCUGAGAGGGUGAACGGCCACACUGGGACUGAGACACGGCCCAGACUCCUACGGGAGGCAGCAGUAGGGAAUCUUCGGCAAUGGGGGGAACCUUGACCGAGCAACGCCGCGUGAGUGAAGAAGGUUUUCGGAUCGUAAAGCUCUGUUGUAAGAGAAGAACGUAUGAGAGAGUGGAAAGUUCUCAUAGUGACGGUAACUUACCAGAAAGGGACGGCUAACUACGUGCCAGCAGCCGCGGUAAUACGUAGGUCCCGAGCGUUGUCCGGAUUUAUUGGGCGUAAAGCGAGCGCAGGCGGUUUAGUAAGUCUGAAGUUAAAGGCAGUGGCUUAACCAUUGUAUGCUUUGGAAACUGCUAGACUUGAGUGCAGAAGGGGAGAGUGGAAUUCCAUGUGUAGCGGUGAAAUGCGUAGAUAUAUGGAGGAACACCGGUGGCGAAAGCGGCUCUCUGGUCUGUAACUGACGCUGAGGCUCGAAAGCGUGGGUAGCGAACAGGAUUAGAUACCCUGGUAGUCCACGCCGUAAACGAUGAGUGCUAGGUGUUGGGUCCUUUCCGGGACUCAGUGCCGCCGCUAACGCAUUAAGCA
rnacentral:rRNA from 1 species